AUUCAGCUGAUGAGUCCCGAAUAGGACGAAACUCAGACCCUAAAU
rnacentral:hammerhead_ribozyme from 1 species